GCCAGCCGCCUUAUCACCCUGAAACUCACAACUGAAGCCCACUGAAGCUAAGCAGGUUUAAGCCUGUCAGUACCCUGAUGGGAGAUCCCCUGGGAAGCUCAGGUUGCUGCUGGAA
rnacentral:rRNA from 1 species